GCUUCCGUAGCUCAGUUGGUUAGAGCUUCGUACUAAUAAUCAUUCCGGUGAUACAAUAGUGAUGCGGAGGUCGCAGGUUCAAGCCCUGCCGGGAGCA
rnacentral:tRNA from 1 species